rnacentral:rRNA from 1 species
UUUAAUGAGAGUUUGAUCCUGGCUCAGGACGAACGCUGGCGGCGUGCCUAAUACAUGCAAGUAGAACGCUGAUGUUUGGUGUUUACACUAGACUGAUGAGUUGCGAACGGGUGAGUAACGCGUAGGUAACCUGCCUCAUAGCGGGGGAUAACUAUUGGAAACGAUAGCUAAUACCGCAUAAGAGUAAUUAACACAUGUUAGUUAUUUAAAAGGAGCAAUUGCUUCACUGUGAGAUGGAC